CAUUAUAUCAACCAUUUCUAUGUGGUGUGCUUCAAUUUAAAAAACCCUGCAAUUGAGAUUUUGGACAACAAUUGUUUAGGAGAUUCAAUUACAAGCAUUUAUGAUGGUUACCCGCAAAACUUGAAAGAGAAUUUUGUAAAAUACAUGAUGAAUGUUAGUGAGGUGAAAGCUAGAAAUUUGUUGAAUGUUGAAAUCACACGACUUCAGAUGAAAUGGCGCACGACAAACAAUUCUAUUGAUUGUGGAAUCUUUGCAAUGCGCCACAUGGAGACCUAUAAAGGGAAUGGAGUCCGUAGCUGGGAUUCAAAAUUCGCUCCUGAAACUCAAAAGCAAAUUCAAGCGAGACAGAUACACAAGGCCAGACAACUCUAUGCUCACAAAAUCAUUUCAUCAACUGCUAACUCCUUGCGAAAUCAGAUGCAGCUAGACAUUAAUUGCACUUUAGCAAGAAAUUAACAAGUAAAUAUUAGUGAUAAAUUUGUAUAGAGCUGGUGGAGGACUGGAGGUCAUAACAGAAGUGAUACAACUUUGUUCCUUUGGAGUAA